ACUGAUGGCGAGUGGCGGACGGGUGAGUAAUGCAUCGGGACAUGUCUAUUUGAGGGGGAUAACUCAUCGAAAGAUGAGCUAAUACCGCAUAAAGUCUGAGGACUAAAGCUGGGGACCGGCAACGGCCUGGCGUAAAUAGGUUGCCCGAUGUCCGAUUAGCUAGUUGGUGAAGUAAAGGUUUACCAAGGCGAUGAUCGGUAGCUGUUCUGAGAGGAAGAUCAGCCACACUGGGACUGAGACACGGCCCAGACUCCUACGGGAGGCAGCAGUGGGGAAUAUUGGACAAUGGGGGCAACCCUGAUCCAGCAACGCCGCGUGAAUGAAGAAGGCCUUAGGGUUGUAAAGUUCUUUUGUCUGAGAGCAAAGUUCUGCUGAGAAUAUCGGUGGGACGUGAGAGUAUCAGAAGAAUAAGCACCGGCUAACUACGUGCCAGCAGCCGCGGUAAUACGUAGGGUGCGAGCGUUAAUCGGAAUUACUGGGCGUAAAGAGUGCGUAGGCGGAUAUAUAAGUUAGAUGUGAAAAACCCGAGCUUAACUUGGGCUGUGCAUUUAAGACUGUAUGUCUAGAGUUUGUGAGAGGGUGGUAGAAUUCCAAGUGUAGCAGUGAAAUGCGUAGAGAUUUGGAGGAAUACCGAAGGCGAAGGCAGCCACCUGGCAUAGAACUGACGCUGAGGCACGAAAGCGUGGGUAGCAAACAGGAUUAGAUACCCUGGUAGUCCACGCCCUAAACGAUGUUUACUUGCUGUUGGGAGAGAUCUUGGUAGCGAAGCUAACGCGAGAAGUAAACCGCCUGGGGAGUACGGUCGCAAGAUUAAAACUCAAAGGAAUUGACGGGGACCCGCACAAGCGGUGGAUGAUGUGGAUUAAUUCGAUGCAACGCGAAAAACCUUACCUGCUCUUGACAUGCUAGGAAUCCUGCAGAGAUGUGGGAGUGCCGCAAGGAACCUAGACACAGGUGCUGCAUGGCUGUCGUCAGCUCGUGUCGUGAGAUGUUGUCUUAAGUGACGCAACGAGCGCAACCCUUGCAACUAGUUGCCCUAAUUAAGUUUGGCACUUUAGUUGGACUGCCGACCGAGGUCGGAGGAAGGUGGGGAUGACGUCAAGUCCUCAUGGCCCUUAUGAGCAGGGCUUCACACGUCAUACAAUGGUAGGUACAGACGGAAGCUAAGCCGCGAGGCUGUGCAAACCUGAAAAAGCCUAUCGUAGUCCGGAUUGCACUCUGCAACUCGAGUGCAUGAAGUCGGAAUCGCUAGUAAUCGCAGAUCAGCAUGCUGCGGUGAAUACGUUCCCGGGUCUUGUACACACCGCCCGUCACA
rnacentral:rRNA from 1 species